rnacentral:rRNA from 1 species
UAAUACAUAAGUAACCUGCCCUAGACAGGGGGAUAGCUAUUGGAAACGAUAGCUAAGACCGCAUAGGUACGGACACUGCAUGGUGACCGUAUUAAAAGUGCCUCAAAGCACUGGUAGAGGAUGGACUUAUGGCGCAUUAGCUGGUUGGCGGGGUAACGGCCCACCAAGGCGACGAUGCGUAGCCGACCUGAGAGGGUGACCGGCCACACUGGGACUGAGACACGGCCCAG